rnacentral:rRNA from 1 species
AACGAACGCUGGCGGCAUGCCUAACACAUGCAAGUCGAACGAGACCUUCGGGUCUAGUGGCGCACGGGUGCGUAACGCGUGGGAACCUGCCCUUAGGUUCGGAAUAACUCCCCGAAAGGGGUGCUAAUACCGGAUAAUGUCUUCGGACCAAAGAUUUAUCGCCUUUGGAUGGGCCCGCGUUGGAUUAGCUAGUUGGUAGGGUAAAAGCCUACCAAGGCGACGAUCCAUAGCUGGUCUGAGAGGAUGAUCAGCCACACUGGGACUGAGGCACGGCCCAGACUCCUACGGGAGGGAGCAGUGGGGGAUAUUGGAAAAUGGGCGAAAGCCUGAUCCAACAAUGCCGGGGGGGUGAUGAAGGCCUUAGGGUUGUAAAGCUCUUUUACCCGGGAUGAUAAUGACAGUACCGGGAGAAUAAGCUCCGGCUAACUCCGUG